rnacentral:rRNA from 1 species
UACCGGCGGCUCGAGUGGUGGCCACUAUUACUGGGCUUAAAGCGUCCGUAGCUUGGUUGUUAAGUCUCUUGGGAAAUCUGUCGGCUUAACCGACAGGCGUUUAAGGGAUACUGGCAAUCUAGGGACCGGGAGAGGUGAGAGGUACUCCAGGGGUAGGAGUGAAAUCCUGUAAUCCUUGGGGGACCACCUGUGGCGUAGGCGUCUCACCAGAACGGCUCCGACAGUGAGGGACGAAAGCUGGGGGAGCAAACCGGAUUAGAUACCCGGGUAGUCCCAGCCGUAAACGAUGCGCGUUAGGUGUAUCGGUGACCACGAGUCACCGAGGUGCCGAAGGGAAACCGUGAAACGUGCCGCCUGGGAAGUACGGUCGCAAGGCUGAAACUUAAAGGAAUUGGCGGGGGAGCACCACAACAGGUGGAGCCUGCGGUUUAAUCGGACUCAACGCCGGAAACCUCACCGGAUAAGACAGCGGGAUGAUAGCCAGGCUGAAGACUUUGCUUGACUAGCU